GCCCCUAUGGCGGAAUUGGUAGACGCGCUCGACUCAAAAUCGAGUUCCACAAGGAGUGCUGGUUCGAUCCCGGCUAGGGGCACCA
rnacentral:tRNA from 1 species